rnacentral:rRNA from 1 species
GCAUAUCAAUAAGCGGAGGAAAAGAAACUAACAAGGAUUCCCUUAGUAACGGCGAGUGAAGAGGGAAGAGCUCAAAUUUUAAAUCUAUCAUGUUUGUACAUGAUCGAAUUGUAAUUUGAAGAAGCGUUUUCUCGUACUUUAUGCAAUCAGUAUAAGUUCUCUUGGAACAGGACAUCAUAGAGGGUGAUAAUCCCGUCUGUUACUGGUUGUGAGGUUCGUUAUGAUACGCUUUCAAAGAGUCGAGUUGUUUGGGAUUGCAGCUCCAAAUGGGUGGUAAACAUCACCUAAGGCUAAAUAUUUGCGAGAGACCGAUAGCGAACAAGUACCGUGAGGGAAAGAUGAAAAGAACUUUGAAAAGAGAGUUAAAAAGUAUGUGAAAUUGUUGAAAGGGAAACGAUUGAAGUCAGUCGUGCAGUCAUCAAUUCAGCGGUUAACAUUUUAUGUUUCCGUGUAAUUUGGUGUCUGUUGGUUAGCAUCAAUUUUGAUUGUUAUAAAAAGGUUAAGGGGAUGUGGCUCCUUCGGGAGUGUUAUAACCCUUAGCGUAAUGUGACGAUUAGGAUUGAGGUUUGCAACGAAUACCUUUUAGGGCAGUUUCACCUGGCCUCUCGUGGAAUUAUAGAUAGUUAAGAGCAUGCUCUUACUGUCUAUGAUUCUACGAAAAGGUUGGAGUGUAAAACUAAUUCGUUAAGGAUGUUGACGUA